rfam:Danio rerio chromosome 4, GRCz11 reference primary assembly.
CGUAGUGUAGUGGUUAUCACGUUCGCCUCACACACGAAAGGUCCCCAGUUCGAAACUGGGCG